rnacentral:rRNA from 1 species
UUGGAGGGCAAGUCUGGUGCCAGCAGCCGCGGUAAUUCCAGCUCCAAUAGCGUAUAUUAAAGUUGUUGCAGUUAAAAAGCUCGUAGUUGAAUUUCGGGAUUAGUACGUCGGUCGUGCCUUAGGUACGUACUGGUGUUACUGGUUCCUACCUUCUGACGAACCAUCAUGUCAUUAAUUUGGUAUGGUGGGGAAUCAGGACUGUUACUUUGAAAAAAUUAGAGUGUUUAAAGCAGGCUCGCGCUUGAAUACAUUAGCAUGGAAUAAUGAAAUAGGACGUUGAUCCUAUUUUGUUGGUUUCUAGGAUUGACGUAAUGAUUAAUAGGGAUAGUUGGGGGCAUUAGUAUUCAAUUGUCAGAGGUGAAAUUCUUGGAUUUAUUGAAGACUAACUACUGCGAAAGCAUUUGCCAAGGAUGUUUUCAUUAAUCAAGAACGAAAGUUAGGGGAUCGAAGACGAUCAGAUACCGUCGUAGUCUUAACCAUAAACUAUGCCGACUAGGGAUUGGAUGAUGUUAUUUUUAAUGACUCAUUCGGCACCUUACGGGAAAC